UACGUAGGGUGCGAGCGUUAAUCGGAAUUACUGGGCGUAAAGCGUGCGCAGGCGGUGAUGUAAGACAGAUGUGAAAUCCCCGGGCUCAACCUGGGACCUGCAUUUGUGACUGCAUCGCUAGAGUACGGCAGAGGGGGAUGGAAUUCCACGUGUAGCAGUGAAAUGCGUAGAGAUGUGGAGGAAUACCGAUGGCGAAGGCAGCCUCCUGGGCCAACACUGACGCUCAUGCACGAAAGCGUGGGGAGCAAACAGG
rnacentral:rRNA from 1 species